GACCCGGAUUUUUCAAAAUUUAUUUUGUUAGUUUAUUUGUGAUUCUUCAGAAAAAGUGGAAUAAAAUUUAAUAUUUUAUCCUAGUUUGAUAAAUUCUAAAAAUAUUUGUUUAAAUUAUUUUUCGGGUUCACUAGGGUAUCGAAAUUUUGUUGUCUGUUUUGAAUUAAAUGGCAUGUUAAAUACGUGAAUCACUUGUUAUAAGAUUUAACUGUUUAUUUGGAUGUAAUUUAUGCAUGUGUAUAUGUUUGUUACUAAUUAUUGUUUUGUUUUAGAAAUAUUUAUAAUUUUCUUAAAAAUAGAUUUUUGAAAGAUGAAUUCCUAAAAAUAUGAAAGCGAUUUCAAAAAUUCUUUUAAUUAUUUGAUAACGAUAAUAACUAUUUUUAGGAGUUUUUAUAAUAUUAAAAAUAUCACCUUCAUAAAGGUGUGACUUCUAAAUAUUUCCUGAAUGCAUUUAACUUCUAAAUUGCGUAUAAAUUUCAAAAUUGCUCUGUAAAUCUUGAAAGUUUUAUUUUAUUAGUUUUAAAAUAUUUCGGGAUUUAUAAAAAUAUUUCGGUAGUUGUCGGGAGAAAUUUUACUACAAGUUAUCUCCGUAAAAUAGUUAAAGCUGGUAUAAGAUUAGUGAUUAGCCAGCUCGUUAAGGACACGUGACAGCACAAGGCUCAGCCACGUGCCCCUAUUUUCGCCACCGCAAACCCUCUUUUCUUUUCUUCUCCAUACUUUUCUUUCACUCCAUUUUUUUCAUCAGUCUUGACUCUCUCCCUCACCAUUCUAUCCCGUCUCUCCUCUCUCGAUCACCCCUCCUUUCUUCUCUACUUUUCUGCUGUGUUACAAGCCACCGCGACGCCGCCCUCUGCCGCCGCGAUUCUCCGGCUAGUGUUGUCGCGGUUUCAAUCAAGCCGCCUGUGUAUUUCCGGCGAGCUCUCCACCCCGCACCUCCAGUUCAAUUAGUGAAUUGAAGACAUUGACCGAGGCAUUGAUCGAGAAUCGAUUGCAAUGGGUAUUCAGAAAUAGCCAAGUAGUGUUGCAAGUUGAAGUAGAGCGAAGAUUUGUUAUAGAUAAAAGCUUGUCAGAAGUUGACAAAAAGGAAUGAUAUGGCGGUAUAUAGUAUUAUUAGAAAUCUGAGCUAGACACUGGAGUUAAGCCAAGGACAAAGAUGUUUCACCCGAUUAGGCUGCGUGUGCGUGUAAGAGUAAUGAUAGGCAAGGAUUGCAAGUGGUUGAGUUUCAGGCAUAUGGUCAGGUAGAGUAUCCAGAAAGAUGUCAUUAAGACUAGUUGCAGUUGCAGUUGUGCAAUUUAAUUCAGUUGGGAAUUAGAUUUGUUUAUUUGGUUAUCAACUACUCUUCAUAUCGAGGUUUAGUUGAUAAUUUAGUUGAAGUUGUAUAAAAUUUGUAGUUUUGUUUUCUGAUUUCAAUACUAUAGCCUGUAUCGAUCCUGUUUUCAGGGGGUGAAAUUGAUUUGUAAUUUAAAUCAUUUUUAAAAUAUCCAAGUUUUAAAAUAUUUGUUUUUACUUUCUUUCAAAAAUACCGGUUUUUAAUUGUUUUUCUUUUAGUGGCUCAAAAAUACAGGUUUUAAAUUAUUUUUUUAUUUACACGUGGCACCAGAUCCAGACCCCCGGAUCUGUGGGAUGUCACAGUUGGUAUCAGAGCUGCAGGUUAUAAGUCAUUGAAAUCAGAAUAUAGGUGGUAAUAUCAGGUUUAAUAAAAAGGUGCGUUAAGUGUAACCUCACAUAGAGGUAGUCUACAACUAUUUGGAAUAGUGUGUGUCAAUAGAACCAAGAUUCACAUAUAGUAUUGACCUUGAGUAUAUCAUAGUGUGUAUAAUAGGUUUUCUGUUCCAGAACUAGCAAGUUUAUAUCUCAAGGAAGAAAGAACAGGCCUCCACCAGUUUUUAUUAUAUUGAGUAUUUAGUACUAAUACUAGCAACCAAAUAGAUUCACUUGUUGAGUCUAGAACGCCACUAAUUAUUUCAUAGUCCUUGUCACCAAGAUAGAGAUAAAUUAAAAGGGUUACUAUGAGUUGUUAUAUUGUGGAUUAAAAUUUCUUAACACCAGUUUAAUUGAGUUUCAAACUCAUAGUAGGUGGAUAAGAUUUUUGUCAGUGUUUAGCUUGUUAGUCGAUUUAGAGUCAAAACUAUUUGAAGGGUGAAAGAUAGACCUAUUAGUUGAGCUUUAAAAUUGGAAUCAGUUGAGGUCGGACCAGUAGAAGCAUUCCCAUAGUCUAGAGCAUCUUUUGAAGUAUUUGUCAAGUUUUGAGAACUAUUUGAAAGGUCACCUUUUGUUUCAUGUCAGUGAUAUAUAGAGUUGGUCAAAGAAUAUAGGUGUUACCAGGUCCGAGUUUCAAGCUUUGUAUAUAGUUAAGUAGUGAGCGUUGGAGCUACGUAGAGUUCGUAUUAGAUUACUCGAUCUAGUACCUAUGAGUGAGUUAAGAUGUCAACGCUCUAUGGUGAUGACUGCAUAAAGCUGGAAAAGAUUUCUGAUUGACAACUAUAUCGAUAACGGGAUCUUCAGAGGCUAUUACAAGUCAACGAUAAUAUAUGCAAGUGAUCACUAGAACGUCGAGAAGAAUCAUUACAAUCCAAAACGAGUCAUCAAAUGAAUCGUUCAAGAGGACAUCCAUGAAAAUCCUGGCAAUACCUUCCUCAUAUUCGAUAAUAUUGAUUUCUUUCCUCAUCAUUGAUUUGUUCUGACAUCACUUUCAUAAAGACAUUUGAUGAAGAAUAUAUCUUUCUGUCUCACUUGAGUUCUCGAAUGAUACUUGUGCUUACUGUAACACCUUUGGAAUCUAUUCAAUUUUGAUAAUUUCAAACCCUUUCAUAUUCUUUAUUCUAACCGAGGUGAACAACCCUACUUACAGGGGACACAAGGACUAUCUGUCUGUGUGAUAGAAGUUGGAUGGGACGCCAUCCCUUGUGUGUGUUGUAUAUACAAGAAGGUUAACUACCUUUAGUAGUGUCUUAAUCUAGACACACAACACUGAGUUCUUUAGAUCAUAUUGAUCUCUCAGUUAUCUCUCAUUUCAAAUGAGAUUUAUUUAACAUUCUUAUAAUCAUAUGACCACAAUCACGUGACAUUUGCUUCGAUAUAUGAAAUCUGUCAUACUUUUAAAUCUUCAUGAUUCUUGUUAUCUCUAAUAGUUUGGAGGUAUGCCAACCAAGUUGCUAACAUAAAUUAAGACUUUGUAGUAUAAAGCACCAGGGAUGAAAACGGAUGACAAUGCGGGUCAAUCAACAAAAAUUUUAUAUAGGAAAGAAAGAGUAUUAUGGAUUACAGAGAUCGUGCGCUCUAGUUUGCUUUUCGUUGAUUCCGAGGACGGAAUCCUUUUAAGGGUGGGAGAUUGUGACGACCCGGAUUUUUCAAAAUUUAUUUUGUUAGUUUAUUUGUGAUUCUUCAGAAAAAGUGGAAUAAAAUUUAAUAUUUUAUCCUAGUUUGAUAAAUUCUAAAAAUAUUUGUUUAAAUUAUUUUUCGGGUUCACUAGGGUAUCGAAAUUUUGUUGUCUGUUUUGAAUUAAAUGGCAUGUUAAAUACGUGAAUCACUUGUUAUAAGAUUUAACUGUUUAUUUGGAUGUAAUUUAUGCAUGUGUAUAUGUUUGUUACUAAUUAUUGUUUUGUUUUAGAAAUAUUUAUAAUUUUCUUAAAAAUAGAUUUUUGAAAGAUGAAUUCCUAAAAAUAUGAAAGCGAUUUCAAAAAUUCUUUUAAUUAUUUGAUAACGAUAAUAACUAUUUUUAGGAGUUUUUAUAAUAUUAAAAAUAUCACCUUCAUAAAGGUGUGACUUCUAAAUAUUUCCUGAAUGCAUUUAACUUCUAAAUUGCGUAUAAAUUUCAAAAUUGCUCUGUAAAUCUUGAAAGUUUUAUUUUAUUAGUUUUAAAAUAUUUCGGGAUUUAUAAAAAUAUUUCGGUAGUUGUCGGGAGAAAUUUUACUACAAGUUAUCUCCGUAAAAUAGUUAAAGCUGGUAUAAGAUUAGUGAUUAGCCAGCUCGUUAAGGACACGUGACAGCACAAGGCUCAGCCACGUGCCCCUAUUUUCGCCACCGCAAACCCUCUUUUCUUUUCUUCUCCAUACUUUUCUUUCACUCCAUUUUUUUCAUCAGUCUUGACUCUCUCCCUCACCAUUCUAUCCCGUCUCUCCUCUCUCGAUCACCCCUCCUUUCUUCUCUACUUUUCUGCUGUGUUACAAGCCACCGCGACGCCGCCCUCUGCCGCCGCGAUUCUCCGGCUAGUGUUGUCGCGGUUUCAAUCAAGCCGCCUGUGUAUUUCCGGCGAGCUCUCCACCCCGCACCUCCAGUUCAAUUAGUGAAUUGAAGACAUUGACCGAGGCAUUGAUCGAGAAUCGAUUGCAAUGGGUAUUCAGAAAUAGCCAAGUAGUGUUGCAAGUUGAAGUAGAGCGAAGAUUUGUUAUAGAUAAAAGCUUGUCAGAAGUUGACAAAAAGGAAUGAUAUGGCGGUAUAUAGUAUUAUUAGAAAUCUGAGCUAGACACUGGAGUUAAGCCAAGGACAAAGAUGUUUCACCCGAUUAGGCUGCGUGUGCGUGUAAGAGUAAUGAUAGGCAAGGAUUGCAAGUGGUUGAGUUUCAGGCAUAUGGUCAGGUAGAGUAUCCAGAAAGAUGUCAUUAAGACUAGUUGCAGUUGCAGUUGUGCAAUUUAAUUCAGUUGGGAAUUAGAUUUGUUUAUUUGGUUAUCAACUACUCUUCAUAUCGAGGUUUAGUUGAUAAUUUAGUUGAAGUUGUAUAAAAUUUGUAGUUUUGUUUUCUGAUUUCAAUACUAUAGCCUGUAUCGAUCCUGUUUUCAGGGGGUGAAAUUGAUUUGUAAUUUAAA